AUACGACCAUACCCACUGGAGAACUCGGGAUCCCGUCCGCUCUCCCAUAGAUAAGCCAGUGAGGGCCGGAUUAGUAGUUGGGUCGGUGACGACCAGCGAAUACCUGGUGUUGUG
rnacentral:rRNA from 1 species